GUGCGCGCGCCCGUUCGCCCAGCUUGUGGAGGCUAUUUAUAUUCUGCAGUUCUCGUCUGCUUCCACUGAGCGACGCCGGAUUCAUCGAGUUUGCCACGGCGAGUAAGCAAGUUGAAGAGGAAACCCGCUUUAUACAAGAUGAAGACCUUGUCGACGCUGGUGGUGCUGGUGGUCGUCCUUGCGGCUGCAACGUCUGCUUCGCGCAAAUGCAAGUAUAACAGGCAGGAUAAAUGGUCCGAAUGUGAAAACGGCAAACAGACCGCGACCAAGAUCAUAAAGGAAGGAUCAGACAAGACGUGUCCUCAGAAAAAGGUCAAGACCAGAAUCUGUGUUGCAGGAGAGAAAUGCAAGUACGAGAAAAAUGACUGGAGUGAAUGUAAUGAAGCGACCAGUCUGCAAACCCGCACCAUGAACCUCAAGACUGGCAGUGCGCGAUGCGCACCCGUAAAGACUAUAACGCGCAAAUGCAAAAAAGCUUGCAAGUACCAGAAAGGAAACUGGAGUGAGUGUGAUCCCGCGACGAAGAAGAUGACUCGCACGCUAACCCUCACCCAGGGCAGCGACCAGUGUCCACCGAACAAAACCCGGUUGAGGCGAUGCAGGAAAGGGAAGUCGAGGAAAAAAGGAUCCACACGGAGAACUAAGCGCAGGCGUUCAAGACAUGUAAAUCAUAAAGCUAGGGGACCAAGUACAAUGGCAACUCUCAGAGGGCCCACUAUUCACCCGAAGCUUCAAUCCAGCCUCUUCAGUUCGUCUCUUAGCCCUUCAAAUGCUGCCGAUUCAUCAGAACAUAACCUGAGAACAAUGCCGAGGGAUAAAACUGUUCGGAAACAUAAACUCCCAAAAGAUAAACAAAAUAAAAAAAGAGAUAAAAAAUUGCGAAAACGAAAACAUUUGACGGAUCAGUCUAUAGACCAACCUGCUCAAUUUCUGGAUCCUUCUUUCCAGUCAACAGUGUCGGUUGAACCUGUUUUGCUGCCCUCUCACAGACCAUCCACUCAUACAACUGACAAAACCAUUCUGUCAGCAUCCUCAAUACAUCCCAAGCCAAAACACUCCCGAACUCAGCAUACUCGGCAAUAUACUCAUGCCAAAGAUUCACCCUUCAUAAAUGCCAUGUCUACAACCAUAUCACCCAAGCAGGUGAUAAGUGGACGGUUUUCAAAGACCCCAACUCACACUUUGCCUGAUAGACGCGGUAUCAAUAAACAAAGAAAGAUCCCUUCAAAACAGCCUGCAGUCAGUACUGUGUCUUCUGAAACUUUCUAUGAUACCACUAUGGGACAAAGUAAUGGAAUCAUGAAUUAUCUUACCUCUCUCUUCAAAAGGGCCAAUAAAGUGUCAACAGAAGCCCCUGUUGCCACUUCCACCAGUGGGAGUAGUUCCUGGUGGCACUGGCGGUAAAGGCUAAAGUGGGACACCAUCUUAAGUUCAUACACCUGAACCUGAUGAAACGUACCUGUAUUUGUACCAUUUAUCCUACAACUUUUCACAACACUUGCGGAAUUUUCUUUUGGAGGUACAUAAAAUACUCAGUUUUGAUAUUUAGAAAGAUGAGCAUUUAUGUAUACCAUACAUAGUUUAGAUGAUAUGUAAAGCCCACUUAGUAAAUAGUUAUUGCAAGUUUUAUUUGGGGAGUCAAAACCUGUCGAAUGGGUAGCGGCUGGCUAGUGACACUCUCUGUCAAAUGGGUUCGACAGUAGCAUUGAGAGCUUUAAAAGGUCACUGUGACAAGUUGAUACCAGAAUUCUGUAAAAGUGGUUUGAUAGAAGUUAACAAACAAAUAAACAUGUCAAAGCUAUGUAAGCAUGGCCAAAUCAUGCAUUCUCAGCCUCAAUAUUGGCCAGUAAUGUCAUAAAUUACAUGGAGGAAGAAUGUACAAAUAUAUCUCAGUCAUUGUCAGCUAGCAUUGCCACUGGUCUGUCUGUAUCUCCGCUAAAGCACAUCAGAAUGUGAAGACCAGUGCUAUGAUUAUCCAGUUAUCUCAAUAUAAAUUCUAUGUUUGGCGUAUGUCAUGGCUAGGUUCUUUAAUCUGGUUUGGUAUCUAUUUCCUAAAUCCGAAGGUAAUGAUAUCAGACUGGAAAUAUAUGGUGGUUUUAAUGAUUUCUGGGGGAUAACGGGUGGCCCAGUCGUCUAAGGCGCCGCAAUUCGCUGUGCAGAGUUGUGUCCCUUGGACGCGCCAGAAACCUAUGAUUGUGGGUUCGCCCCUAUCAUGUUUCUAGGUUUGUCAGCACCAUACCCG
rnacentral:misc_RNA from 1 species